AAGCUCGUAGUUGAAUUUCGGGGUCAGUAGGUUGGUCGUGCCACCGGUACGUACUGGUCUCGCUGAUUCCUCCUUCCUGAUGAGCUGUAAUGCCAUUAAUUUGGUGUUGCAGGGAAUCUGGACUGUUACUUUGAAAAAAUUAGAGUGUUUAAAGCAGGCUAACGCUUGAAUACAUUAGCAUGGAAUAAUGAAAUAGGACGUUCGAUCCUAUUUUGUUGGUUUCUUAGGAUUGACGUAAUGAUUAAUAGGGAUAGUUGGG
rnacentral:rRNA from 1 species